AUGAUCCUUCUCCUUUCUCUUGGCUUUCACGUUGCAACCAGCAUCACUGGUGAUAGCCAACUCCUAUACCCUGACUUCACUGGCAGUAACAUCACCGUCGAUGUAACUGCUACAAUCACAUUGAAAGGACUCCUUGAGCUGACUAAUGGCACAACUAAUCGCAAAGGCCAUGCAUUCUACCCAACUGCAUUGUACUUCCACAAAUCACCCAAUGGAAUACAAUUCUAGCAUGAACAAUAAACCUUUAUGAUGAAUAAGGAAAUAUAAAAUAACAACUUUAUUAUUGCCUCUAGGGCAUAUUUCCUUCACCAACAUGGCUUGGCCUUCGUUGUCGCACCAAGCAAGAACUUCUCAGACGCAUUGCCCAAUCAAUACCUAGGUCUCACAAAUACUAUGAAAAACAGCAGCCCAACCAACCAUUUCUUUGUUGUUGAGCUCGACACCGCCCUAACCAUUGAAAUCCAAGAAAUCAACGCCAACCACAUAGGCAUAGACAUCAAUAGCCUCAACUCCGCAAAGUCCUACUACGCAGGCUAUUAUGAUGACAGGAGUGGUAGCUUCCAAAAUCUAAGUCUUAGUAGUGGCGAAGCAAAGCAAGUACAGGUGGAAUACAACGGCGAAGAAAAGCAAAUCAAUGUGACCAUUGCUCCCGUUGAAAUGGCGAAACCAGCACGGCCAUUGAUCUCAUACACCUACGACCUCUCAACAGUGUUGCAAGAGCCGGCAUACAUCGGCUUCUCUUCAUCCACAGGUCCAGUCGACUCACAACACUACGUGCUCGGCUGGAGCUUGAACAUGAACAGACCAGCUCCAGCACUCGACAUCACGAAACUACCCAAGCUACCCCGCGAGGGCCCAAAACCUCGAUCAACACUCUUGGAAACCAUCCUACCAAUAACAACCGCAACAUUCAUUAUUGUUGCAUGUGCUAUCACAAUUUUACUUGUGAAUAGGAAACUGCGGUACUCCGAGCUAAAAGAAGAUUGGGAAGUUGACUUUGGGCCACACCGGUUCUCAUACAAGGAUUCGUAUCAUGCCACUGAAGGAUUUAAGAGCAAGCACCUACUAGGUGCUGGAGGAUUCGGCAAGGUAUACAAAGGAGUGCUCCCGUCAUCUAAAUUAGAUGUUGCCGUGAAAAAGGUGUCCCAUGAAUAAAGGCAGGGUAUGAUAGAGUUCAUUGCUGAGGUUGUCAGCAUUGGCCACAUUCGACACAGGAACCUUGUUCAGUUACUUGGCUACUUCAGGCGAAAAGGUGAACUCCUUUUAGUAUAUGAAUACAUGUCAAAUGGUAGUCUUCAUAAGUAUCUGUACUAUGAUGAGUACAACACCACACUGAAUUGGGCCAGGAUGUUUCAGAUCAUGAAAGACAUUGCAACAGGUCUUCUCUACCUCCAUGAGAAGUGGGAGAAAGUUGUCGUCCAUCGUGAUAUUAAGGAAGGUAAUGUGCUUCUUGAUAGCGAAAUGAAUGGGCGCCUAGGUGAUUUUGGCCUCGCAAGAUUGUACGACCAUGACACCGACCUACAGGCAACACAUGUUGUCGAUACCAUGGGGUAUCUAGCCCCAGAAUUCAUACGCACAGGCAAGGCAUCCCCACUCACAGAUAUUUUUGCUUUUGGCGCUUUCCUUCUUGAAGUCACAUGCGGGCAAAGACGAGUGAACAACAAUACAGAAUAUAAUCAAGAGGUGCUAGUUGACUGGGUUCUUGAGCAGUGGCACAAAGGAUCACUCAUAGAGAUAGUAGACACCAAGCUACAAAGUGAUUAUAAUGUUGAUGAAGCAUGCUUAGCACUAAACCUAGGACUAUUGUGCUCACACCCAUUUACCAGUGUAAGACCUAACAUGCAGCAAAUCGUACGGUACCUAGAUGGUGAUCUGCCACUCCCAGAGUUGACACAUACAUACAUGAGCUUCAGCAUGCUCUCUCUAAUGCAGGAUGAAGGGUUUGACCCAUACACAAUGUCAUACCAUUCUUCACAGGCAAGCAUAGGCACAAUAUUUGGCAUUUUAGGAGGAAGAUGA
rnacentral:rRNA from 1 species